CCUACGGGAGGCAGCAGUGGGGAAUAUUGCACAAUGGGGGAAACCCUGAUGCAGCGACGCCGCGUGAGUGAAGAAGUAAUUCGUUACGUAAAGCUCUAUCAGCAGGGAAGAAAAACUGACCUUACGGUCAGCCGACGGUACCUGAGUAAGAAGCCCCGGCUAACUACGUGCCAGCAGCCGCGGUCAUACGUAGGGGGCAAGCGUUAUCCGGAUUUACUGGGUGUAAAGGGAGCGUAGACGGUGCGCCAAGUCUGGAGUGAAAGGCCGCAGCUUAACUGGGGAGCUGCAUUGGAAACUGGCGAACUAGAGUGCGGGAGGGGAGAGCGGAAUUCCUAGUGUAGCGGUGAAAUGCGUAGAUAUUAGGAGGAACACCGGUGGCGAAGGCGGCUUACUGGACCGUAACUGACGUUGAGGCUCGAAAGCGUGGGGAGCAAACAGGAUUAGAUACCCUAGUAGUC
rnacentral:rRNA from 1 species